rnacentral:rRNA from 1 species
CUUCACGAAUCGCAUGGUCUUGAACCGGCGAUGUUUCAUUCAAAUUUCUGCCCUAUCAACUUUCGACGGUAGGGUAGUGGCCUACCGUGGUGGUAACGGGUGACGGAGGAUUAGGGUUCGAUUCCGGAGAGGGAGCCUGAGAAACGGCUACCACAUCCAAGGAAGGCAGCAGGCGCGCAAAUUACCCAAAUCCCAACUCGGGGAGGUAGUGACAAGAAAUAACGAUGCUCCGGCCUCACGGUCGGGUAAUCGGAAUGAGAACAAUUUAAAUCCCUUAUCGAGGAUCAAUUGGAGGGCAAGUCUGGUGCCAGCAGCCGCGGUAAUUCCAGCUCCAAUAGCGUAUAUUUAAGUUGCUGCGGUUAAAAAGCUCGUAGUCGGAUUUCGGGUGGCGCCUACCGGUCCGCCUUUGGUGAGUACUGGUAGGCACCACCUUUCUGCCGAGGACGGGGUACUGGGCUUAACUGUCUGGGCCCCGGAGUCGGCGAUGUCACUUUGAGUAAAUUAGGGUGUUCAAAGCAGGCUUAUGCUCUGUAUACACUAGCAUGGGAUGACACGAUAGGACUUCGGUUUAUCUUGUCGGUCUGUAAAUCGGAGUAAUGAUUAAGAGGGACAGUCGGGGGCAUUCGUAUUUCGUAGUCAGAGGUGAAAUUCUUGGAUUUACGGAAGACGAACUUCUGCGAAAGCAUUUGCCAAGGAUGUUUUCAUUGAUCAAGAACGAAAGUCGGGGGCUCGAAGACGAUUAGAUACCGUCGUAGUCUCGACCAUAAACGAUGCCGACUAGGGAUCGGAGGUGGUUUUUUUAUGACCUCUCCGGCACCUUACGAGAAAUCAAAGUUUCUGGGUUCCGGGGGGAGUAUGGUCGCAAGGCUGAAACUUAAAGGAAUUGACGGAAGGGCACCACCAGGCGUGGAGCCUGCGGCUUAAUUUGACUCAACACGG